rnacentral:lncRNA from 1 species
CUCGUUCUUCUCUUGUCUGCCACCAUGAAAAACAUGCCGUUUGCCUUCCUCCAUGAUUCUGAGGCCACCCCAGUCACAUGGCACUGUGAGUCCAUUAAACCUCUUUUUCUUUAUAAAUUACCAAGUCUCAAGUAUGUUUUUAUCAGCAGCAUGAGAAUAGACUAAUUUAGUAAAUUGGUACCAGUAGAAUGGGGUGCCGCUGUAAAGAUUCCCAAAAAUGUGGAAGUGACUUGGAAGUGGGUAACAGGAAGAGGUUGGAACAGUUUGGAGACAGGAACAGACGAAGAUGGAACAGAUGGAACAGAUGAAGACAGGAAAAUGUAGGAAAGUUUGGAACUUCCUAGAGACUUGUUGAAUGGUUUUGACCAAAAUGCUGAUAAUGAUAUGGACAAUGAAAUCCAGGCUGAGGUAGUCUCAGAUGGAGAUGAGGAACUUGUUGGAAAGUGGAGUAAAGAUGAUCCUUGCUAUGUUUUAGAAAAGAGACUGGUGGCAUUUUGCCCCUGCCCUAGAGAUAUGUGGAAUUUUGAACUUGAGAGAGAUGAUUUAGGGUAUCUUUGGAGGAAAUUUCUAAACAGCAAAGUAUUCGAGAGGUGACCUGAGAGGUGCUGUUAAAAGCAUUCAGUUUUGAAAGGGAAACAGAGCAUAAAAGUUUGGAAAAUUUGUAGCCUGAUAAUGCAAUAGAAAACAGAAACCCAUUUUCGGAGGAGAAAUUCAAGCAGGUGCAGAAAUUUGCAUAAGUAACAAGUCAAAUAUUAAUCUCUGAAUCAAUGGAGAAAAUGUCUCCAGGGUGUGUCAGAGACCUUGGCAGCAGCCACUCUUAUCAUAGGCCCAGAGGCAUAGGAAGGAAAAAUGGUUUCUUGGGCCAGGUCCAGGGUCCCCCUGCUCAGUGCAGCCUAGGGACUUGGUGCCCUGUGUCCCAGCCACUCUAGCCAUGACUAAAAGGGGCCAAGGUACAGCUCGGGCUGUUGCACCAGAGGGUUCAAGCCCCAAGCUUUGGAAGCUUACACAUGGUUUUGAGUCUGUGGGUACACAGAAGUCAAGAAUUGAGGUUUGGGAACCACUGCCUGGAUUCCAAAAGAUGUAUGUAAAUUCAUGGGUGUUGAGGCAGAAGUUUGCUCUAGGGUUGGGGCCCUCAUGGAGAACCUCUGCUAGGGCAGUGAGGAAGGGAAAUGUGUGGUUGGAGCCCCACACAGAGUCCCCACUGGAGCAUUGCCUAGUGGAGCUGUGAGAAUAGGGCCACUGUCCUCCAGACUCCAGAGCUGUAGAUCCACUGACAGCUUGCACUUUGUGCCUAGAAAGCUGCAGACACUCAAUGCCAGCCCAUUAAAGCAGCUUGGAGGGAGACUGUACCCUGCAAAGCCACAGGGGCAGAGCUGCCCAAGACCAUGGGAACUCACCUCUUGCAUUAGCAUGUCCUGGAUGUGAGACAUGAAGUCAAAGGAGAUCAUUUUGGAGCUUUAAGAUUUGGCUGCUCCACUCAAUUUCAGACUUGCACGGGGCCUGUAGCCCCUUUGUUUUGGCCAAUUUCUCCUAUUUGGACUGGGUGUAUUUACCCAAUGCCUGUACCCCCAUUGUAUCCAGCAAGUAACUAACUUGCUUUUGAUUUUACAGGCUUAUAGGUGGAAGAAACUUGCCUUGUCUCAGAUGAGACUUUGGACUGUGGACUUUUGAGUUAAUGCUGAAAUGAGUUAAGACUUUGGGGGACUCUUGGAAAGGCAUGAUUGAUUUUGAAAUGUGAGGACAUGAGAUUUGGGAGGGGCCAGGGGUAGAAUGAUAUGGUUUGGCUGUGUCUCCAUCAAAAUCUCAUCUUGUAUUGUAGCUCCCAUAAUUCCCAUGUGUUGUGGGAGGAACCCAGUGGGAGAUAAUUUAAUCAUUGGGGCAGUUUUUCCCAUACUGUUUUUAUGGUAGUGACUAAGUCUCAUGAGAGCUGAUGGUUUUAUAAGGGAAACCCCUUUUCACUUGGCUCUCAUUAUUUUCUUGUCUGAGGCCUCCCCAGCCACAUGGAACUGUGAGUCCAUUAAACCUGAUUUUCUUCAUAAAUUCCCAUCUUGGAUAUGUCUUUAUCAGCAACAUGAGAACAGAUGAAUAAAAAUUCUCAGACUGGGAGAAAAAUAUGCUAAAGUGCUUCAUUCCCAGAAUAAUAUUCUUGUUAUUUUGUCAUAUGGGCAGCCUACCUGCUUACCUCCUGUCCACACAUCCUAAUAUGAUGCCAACCAGUUAGUAUGUCCUCACUUACUUGCUGACAUGGAUUCUUUGCUUGGCCAAAUUUUAGUCACGUCUUCUGAACAUUCUUCUAGGCCCAUCUGUGCACUUCCUUGUAAAAUACUGUUUUAACUAAGUCAGUUUAGCAACAAUCCCCAAUCUCAGUGUCUGAUCACCCUUGGUAGCUGAUCAUAUUACUUAUCCUCCCUUAUCCCCCAGGUGAUUUCUGAUCUUUCUGGUCUGUUUUUAGCAAGAUCCUGUUAGGUUGGUUUAGCCAGAAUUCCCCUUACCCCUGAUGUUUCUGCUUAGUAAUUUUCCAUCCUCUGACUACCUCAUCUGCUUCUUGGCUACAGAUUCUCACUUGCCCCUGCUGUAUUCGGAGUUGAGUUCAAUCUCCCUAGCCUAUUGUUAAGACUUAGUUGUAGUCAUUCCUGUAGCUACUGCAAUGAUCCUAAAUGAAGUCUUUUUUACUGUGCUUUAACAAGUAUCAUUGAAUAUUUUUUUUCUUUAACAUUACACAAAAAGGAAAACAGCCUGUUCAUUUCAUGGAAGGACGUUUUGGAAAAAUAGAUCCAGACCUACAUAGAAAGAAAGAUUUGAGUGCACACUACAUACAUUAGAAGAGAAAAAUAAAGGAAAAUCAGACUGCUAUGAAAACCAAGUUUCCCACUUCAUGCUAAAAAGUGGUAACAUUGCAUGUCAGACUGAAGAAAGACACCUGAGUCUAUGUUGAGUUGUGUUUGGCCCCUUGCAAGGUUGUCAUAAAUGAUUCAUUGUUUUGGCUUAAGGGGCUUUCAGCUGGAUGACAAAGCAUAAGGACAAAAAAUAUGAAAUUUGUCA